AUGGGGGACCAACUCCAUAUUAAUAAUGCCAAUGAUUUUGGAAUGAAAUGUUCGACAAGCAGGCGUCCACAUACUAUUUGUCAUGUAGUUUAUCAUGGAUGGUCAGUCCAUGCAUCCAUAGCUCUAUCUAUGUAUUUGAGAGUGAUUACAUUUCUCCAGCCCCAUCCAUCAGCUUGUUACCGAAACAGUGGUGGGGACAACACUUUCUUUAUAUUUCAACUGCGGAUUGGCCCUUUAAGUGAACCCCCACAAGUCUAUGGCAUUAACCACUUACCACUGUUCCCACACAGGAAGCCCGACUCCACCUAUGGUUGGAUGUUGUAUCUUUGUGGUGCUUAUCCUGUGAUCAAAAUGCUUUCCAUUGUAAUGGCGGUGGGGAUGGUGAAUGCUUUCCAUUGUAAUGGGGAUGGUGAUGGUUAAUGCUUUCCAUUGUAAUGGGGAUGGUGAUGGUUAAUGCUUUCCAUUGUAAUGAGGUGGGGAUGGUGAAUGCUUUCCAUUGUAAUGAGGUGGGGAUGGUGAAUGCUUUCCAUUGUAAUGAGGUGGGGAUGGUUAAUGCUUUCCAUUGUAAUGGCGGUGGGGAUGGUUAAUGCUUUCCAUUGUAAUGAGGUGGGCAUGGUUAAUGCUUUCCAUUGUAAUGAGGUGGGGAUGGUUAAUGCUUUCCUCUGUUACGUCCACAUUUUACAUCCUUUGAUGUCAGAUAAAGCAAUUCUAGAAGUGUUUUUAUCUAUGAGGUGUAGUCAUAGAGCCAUACACUGUGGGCUUUCUGUACUUUGAGCUGUACGUUUUCCCUAGUUCAAAUAUAUCAGGUUAAAACGCUAAUCUCAAAAGAUUACCAGGGGGAAAUGGCUGCUUCUCCCUUUGAGCAGUAUGCCUGGACAACUGCAUGUAUAUUCACGAGAUUCCACAUGUCUGAUGUAUUUUCUGAUUGUUUGGAUGUGACCAUUUGUACCCGUUUUUUAUUUUUAUCAAUGUUCCAGUGUUUAAUUAACUUCCAUUACACCACAAAGCCACACACUCACACAGUGUUUGUAUACUCACCCACACACACCUACACAUAGGCUCAAACAAACACACACACGCACACACCUUCCCACUCACACGACUGAUGUUACUGGACUCUAUUAUCGUUGCACAAUCUAUUGCACAAUUCCCGCCACAUAUUGUAAAUAUCAGUCUUAAUUUAAUUUGCAUUAUAUUUUAUAAUAUAUUCUUUCUAAAUUACUACUCUAUUUUAUCCCAUUGAGUUUUCAUUUGGUUGUUUUAUUACCUGUUUAUUUUGUUGUUGCACUGUCAAGAGGUGAACCUGCAAGUCAGCAUUUCAAUUCACUGGGUAGUCUGUGUAUAUCAUGUGUAUAUGACCAAUAAAAAAACUGGGACUUGAACUUGUAGUAUGCAGCAGACUGUAGGCCAGUGCCCUGUGCUGAGGGGCAGACUGGGACUUGUUGUUAUUCUCAUUGCUCAGCAUCACAACAAAAUCACUAGUCUUCCACACAGCACUAGGAUCAGUUGUCUCUCUCUCCAUCCAUCAGUCUGGUGUUCUGGAUCCCUUGCUUCAGCUGAAAUAAAAUAUUAAGAAAGACAUGAUAGCACAGAGCUAUCCUAUUCCACUUGACAUUUCACAUAUGCACCCACCUAACAUUUUUAUUCCCUCUCUGCACAUUUAUACAGUAUGCACUCAACAUGUAAAUACCACACUCUACUACUCAUACUUAUUGGAAGCUGUAGUUGGAACUCUAGUGGAAGAUAUGAAAAGUGACACAGGGUGUAGAGGUGAGAGGUUUAUUUGGCACUGUCCUUUUCUCAUCCCUGGGGGGGUCUCUCUCUCUCUCUCUCUCAAGCCUGUUGACAUUCCGUUCUGCCUUUGUUCUAAUGCCAACCUUUCAGCCCUUCUCAAAGAGGCAGAGGAGAUGAUAGGAGGAGAGGGGGAAGAGGAGGAGGACAGCAGUAUGAGGGGAGAUGGGGGAGGGGAACAUAGCACUCAUAAUAAACCCUAGUUGCUAAAGCACUGCUACUGCAUGGAGUGCCUUCUUUUCUCGUCAAAUUCCAAUAUUAAAGAAAUAGAGCUGGCCUUAAUAAUGGGGUUUGCCUGAGCUACAUACUGUAGAUAGUUGUGAAAACGGUUCUACAUUGUCAUAGUGUUCAUAUUGUGUUACAUUAUCUACACAGUACGGUCACCACUAAGGAAAACAGACGACAGUCAAAGACUGAACUUCCCAUAGAAGAUAAAUCACAUUUUUGUUUGCUUUUGGCUUGAUUUUAUCAUCUGGAUAGCGUGCACACUCACAGCUAUAAUCAUUGUCUUCCAUCUCCAAUGUGUUUCAUGGCCAGAGCAGGUAGCUAUGCAACAGGACUGGGAGCAACUGGGAGAGUGGGGUGGUGGUGACAAUUUAGUAAGGGAAGAGAAGGGAAGGUGUGGGGGGGGGGGGGGGGGGGGGNNNNNNNNNNACUGCACGGACUGAACCCUGUAACUGCACGGACUGAACCCUGUAACUGCACGGACUGAACCCUGUAACUGCACGGACUGAACCCUGUAACUGCACGGACUGAACCCUGUAACUGCACGGACUGAACCCUGUAACUACACGGACUGAACCCUUUAACAAUGCGGAAUUAAUGGGUCAAAAUUUGACGUUCAUCCACAUUACGUCAAAUCUUGACUUGAAACUAUGAGAUCAAGUUGCGGCUUUGGCCUCAGUUGAUCUCCUUGCGUAGAUUUUCCUUUGCCAUUUGUUCAAGUAUGGGUAGCUGCAGCUCAAUAUGGAAACCAAAGGAUGCGCAAGGAGUUGUGUUGAAAGGAAAGUAGUGGGAGUGUGGAAAGGAGUGGGUGUGUCGAUAGCGCUCCGCUAUAGACCCGUUUCUGUGUUUGCAAACAUUGCUGCAUGAGGGCUNNNNNNNNNNGAAAGGACAGUAAAUGUUGGCAACCAUGGUUUGUAGAGAGGCUGGCUGAUCACAGGCAGAGAAAGCUCGCUCUCAGGGAAACAGGUCAUUUAGAGGAAAGGUGUCAUUAUAUGUGGAAAAGUCAAUUCCUCUUUUGAGUAGGCCUUUCUUUCCAAGUCAUGCCUUUCCUUCAUUUUCUGUUGACAGUAACAUAUCUUUUUUUUUAAAUGACACUCAAAUGUAAAAUUAUAUAUGAACAUCUCAAUGGCUCUUUUUGACAUGGAUUUCAUGAAGCUUUCCCCUUGAAAGUAACUGGGGAUUUCAAUGAAGAAAACCAGGCCAGAUGAAUGAAAGGUGUUGUGGAGGAACUAGCAGUCAUUACAUGGUCUGAUCUUGUUGCUAACAGGACCAACAAACAAUUUGAAAAUCUAGUAGCGAAUAUUUUUAUUUUUAUAAACGAUAUUUGUUGUUGAUUGUCGAAUAGACACUGUGGACGUGGGAGCUGUCCAGUGGCUCAGUGCUGAAUGACGCCCUAUCCCCAGCAUCAGACUCGCCUUUCCUUACACCGGCCCCGGAAACCACAUGUUACACGAAAGUUUUCAAUCUAAUGCUGAUUAAAAAAACCUAGAUAUUCGACGUAAAUGAAGACAAACUACGUAAAUAGGCUACUGAAAGUUAACCGAUACACAACAUUUUGAUAUUUGUUCGACAAAAAAAAACAGCAACGGGAUGGGAAUAUUUUUCUCGGGGCUCAAGCUAUAUGCUGGCAGACGAGCGAGAGAAUGACAUUGCAUUUCAGAAUAAUUGCUGUAAAUAUGGAGUCCACUGUUAAUUUGUCAAUGAUACGAACAAAUAUACUUCUCACACUGACCGUUUUCUUCUUUCGGGCACGUCCUGGAUCCCUUCAACCAUAAUUGUGUAAACAACACAAUAUAUCGUCUGUACAAUUCUCUCUACAAUGGCAACGUCUUUUCAACAAGUUAACAUGUAUAUUUUUUUACCUGUCUAACAUGUGAAAGUGAAAUAGAGGACGUCUGACUUACCAUCAUAAAGCCUACGGAUCAACAGGUGACUCCUUGGUACCGUUUCUAUUGGGCUGUAUGCUCGUCUUGUCGCCCCGCUUUCUCUCUUUCCGGCUGCGGUUGAACACACGUCAAUCUCAGCUGUAAACCCUCCCCAUCUGCGGUUCACGUAAUGGUUAUGAGGAUGUUACUAGGUAGCUCAGCGAGAGAUGAAAUUAUGUCCGUUUAUAUAUUGUCCAAACAACAGAAAGGGGGCUGGAUCGAUGUAGAUCAC
rnacentral:lncRNA from 13 species